rnacentral:lncRNA from 1 species
CAGCCGCGCCCCCAGCCGUAUUUCCGCGGGCGCUGAGCACUAGAGAGAGCGUCUUGUGGCUGCGGCCUGCCCCUCAGCCUCCUCCGCGCGGUUACCCCUGUACCCGCCGCCAUCCGUCCUGGCGCUCCGGAUGAGUCAAUGAGGGGCAGGGCCCGAGGAGUGGUCUUCCCAAGAACCCCUGGUGGCCUCCCAAGGCCGGUGCUGUGUACCUCCUCCCCGACAAAAGGGGAAACUGAGGCCCCGAGGGGAGUGGGAAGAGCCGGCUGGACGUCAGGCCCAGCCGCUGGUGCAGUGGCCUCGUGGGCUGUGCGGCUAUCCUGGAGACAGAUGACAGCUCUCCCUUGGAUGGCUUUGCUGGUUCCGCACCAGCCAGCGCCCCCAUUUUUCCUGCAGCACCCUGAUCUGCACUCCCUGAGGGGCUCCCACUGUCCGCGGUGUGAGGAUGUCCCUGGAAAUUGGUCUUCUGUGACUUUCUUGAUGGGGGCAGAUGAGAUCUUUGUACUGCAUUAAGUGGAUAGCGCUCAGGUCCUUUGGGCUUGGCGCUUUGGCAAUCUCCAGGCAGCUCACUUUGGCCUCUGUUCCUGGAUCCCCUUUGCUCUUUUCUGCGCCUGCAUUCAUAGUCCACUGUGUGCAGAGGCAUGGGAGUUGUCAUGUUGGGAACAUGCUAGACCUCAGUAUCCUUGAGGGAUGCUGCCUUGGGUCUGGAAACUGUUAGAGGAAACCCCAAGAGGUGCAGGCACUGAGCCUCUCAGGACAAUGACCUGGGGUCCCAGCUCCCCUGGAGGGGCCUCCUCAUGAUUGUUUGGGGGUUGAUCACAGACCAAGAGUGACGAGUGAUGUCACCCUGUGACUCAUGGCUGGACCUUCUUGCCCCUAUUGUCUCAGCACAACAUUAUUCGACUUUUCCCUCAGCGUGGGUGGGCAGAGGAAAAGCCCUGUGGCUCUGGGGACUUGGGAUCCAGAGUUGAAGACCCUUCAGCUGGCUCUGCCCUGCCAGUGCCACAGAGUGCCAUGGCCCAGGAAGACAGGUUUUCUUCCAUCUAGGCCAGGCCAUCCAGUGGCCAUCCUCCGUGUCCUCCCGCCUCCUCCUGGUGUGACUUCUGAAAACCAAGAAUUUGUUCCUGUUGACUUUUUCUGUGCUAUGGACCAUUGUCCUCUCACCCACUCAAUAAAUCUUGAAACAUG